GACCUGAUGGUGUAGCACUCAAAUCUUCUUUUUUGUUUUCAAGUCUCCUUAUUUCUGUUUGUUAAAAAGGUUGAUUGUUUAACUGCCAAUUUAUUUUGGAGAGAACCAGGGAUUUUUUGGAGACCUGAGAGGGUCUUGUAUAUUGUUAAUAGUUGUGAAAUGAUGAAUGUUGUACCCAUGUAAAAAAAAAAAAAACAGUACUUUGAACAUUCCUGUCCUCUGUUGUGUCUAUUAAAGAGCUUUACUGUGCAAUACUUCAUGUAAAGUCAUUGUGACUAUUUUAUUGUUGACCAGAAAUAGAUUUUAUUUUUAACAAAGAUAGCAUAGAGCAUUUAUAAGCAAUAAAUUGCAAAAAUCUAAUGCUAUCCUCUUUAUGCUUAUUUGUUAACGUUUGUGCAAUAGGAAUUCUCAUAGCCAGAUAAGCACCAUAUGUGUGUAUACUUCCAUUUGCUGUUAACAUUACUAGGUAAGAUUUGUCUUACAUUGGAUUUUAAAUUUCAAACGGGAUUUAUUCCAGAGACAUGAAAUAUUCAGGAGCCUCAGCUCAAGAGUAGCAAUUCCUAACAAUUGGUCUUUUCAAACUUUUUUUUUAAAAAAAGGUUAAAUUACUUGACUUUAUUUUUAAUUUUCCUGGAGGUGUGAGACACAAAGCGGUUGGUUCUGUGGUUAAACCCCCCGGUCUGCCUUGUAGAUGAAGGGAUUUUGGAAAAGGAUAUGUCGCUAGACUUGCGAAGAAAGGUGAAACAAAGGGGUGCAGCUCCUGCCCUGAUGUUGUGGUACGCGAGGGCCGUGUUCAGUGUGGGGGCGGGGCCCUGGACAGCUGGACCGCCUUCGCCUGAUGAUGAACAGCUGUACAGGCAGUACAGAACCGCGAGCAGGGCUACACCACACCGGCACGCCUGGAGAGGGGUUGCGCCCGAUCAUGAGCCUUGCGCUCCCAGAGCUCCCAGACGGGACCUCGCUAGAAAGGGGCACGUCCAGUCUGGUCCCCGCCGCCAAGCGGGGUCUUUUUUCCUGGCUGGAAAUUAGAUGGGGCGACAUCCAGCUGUAAAUCGGCAGCAAUGUCAAAGUCCAGCACAGCAGCCUGGGAAACAGAAUUCAGCGGUCAGAUUCUCUCGCAAAAAAAAAAACAGAGUUUCCUCACCUGGUGCAUAUAAAGCAAAUUGGCCCCGAGACCCGCUUCAGCUAUUCAGGUCAUCUUGGGAGAGGUGGUAGGUGAGGAAGUGUCGCCACCCGAGAGACACGACGAUAACGGUGCUCGGGCUGUGUACCGCCAUCGCCCGCUCCAGCGCGACACGGCGAGAGCACCACCCUGAUCGGGCAGGGCGGCCGCCGGGGGGGGGGGCGGCGCCUACUGUACCUUGGAGAAGUAGAGCUCCGCCUGCGCCUCGUCCUGCUGCACCCCCCGGCCCUGCUGCAAGCACCUGGCGU